AACGAACGCUGGCGGCAGGCUUAACACAUGCAAGUCGAACGCCCGUAGCAAUACGGGAGUGGCGGACGGGUGAGUAACGCGUGGGAACGUGCCCUGAGGUACGGAAUAACUGCGGGAAACUGCAGCUAAUACCGUAUGAGCCCCGCAAGGGGGAAAGAUUUAUCGCCUUAGGAGCGGCCCGCGUCGGAUUAGCUAGUUGGUGGGGUAACGGCUUACCAAGGCUUCGAUCCGUAGCUGGUCUGAGAGGACGAUCAGCCACACUGGGACUGAGACACGGCCCAGACUCCUACGGGAGGCAGCAGUGGGGAAUCUUGCGCAAUGGGGGCAACCCUGACGCAGCCAUGCCGCGUGAAUGAUGAAGGCCUUAGGGUUGUAAAGUUCUUUUGCCCGUGACGAUGAUGACGGUAACGGGAGAAUAAGCUCCGGCUAACUUCGUGCAGCAGCCGCCGUAAUAC
rnacentral:rRNA from 1 species